rnacentral:rRNA from 1 species
AUUGAACGCUGGCGGCAGGCCUAACACAUGCAAGUCGAGCGCGCGGCGGACGGGUGAGUACUGUCUGGGAAACUGCCUGAUGGAGGGGGAUAACUACUGGAAACGGUAGCUAAUACCGCAUACCAUCAGAUGUGCCCCGAUUGGAGUAGCUAGUCGGUGGGGUAACGGCGCACCUAGGCGACGAUCCCUAGCUGGUCUGAGAGGAUGAUCAGCCACACUGGAACUGAGACACGGUCCAGACUCCUACGGGAGGCAGCAGUGGGGAAUAUUGCACAAUGGGCGAAAGCCUGAUGCAGCCAUGCCGCGUGUGUGAAGAAGGCCUUCGGGUUGUAAAGCACUUUAAGCGGGGAGGCGUUACCCACAGAAGAAGCACCGGCUAACUCCGUGCCAGCAGCCGCGGUAAUUC